rnacentral:rRNA from 1 species
CCUACGGGAGGCUGCAGUCGAGAAUCAUUGACAAUGGAGGAAACUCUGAUGGUGCGAAGCCGCGUGAGGGAAUGAAGGUCUUCGGAUUGUAAACUUCUUUUAUGAGGGAUUAAAAUAAAAAGAGAGUACCAUAAUACGAAUAGUCUGUUAACACGGUUCCAGCAGCCGCGUGAAUACAGAGGACUCAAGCGGUAUGCGGAAUUACUUGGCUUAAAGCGUGCGUAGGCUGGUUCGUAAGUCGGGUGUGAAAGGUGCGGGCUCAACCUGAGAAUGGCACAUGAUACUGCGAGACUAGAGUACAGGUGGGGGAACCGGAAUUCUUGGUGUAGCAGUGAAAUGCGUAGAUAUCGCGAGGAACACUCGUGGCGAAGGCGGGUUCCUGGACAUUAACUGACACUGAGGCACGAAGGUCAGGGGAGCGAAAGGGAUUAGAUACCCUUGUAGUC